UACGUAGGGUGCAAGCGUUAUCCGGAAUUAUUGGGCGUAAAGAGCUCGUAGGCGGUUUGUCACGUCUGCUGUGAAAACUGGAGGCUCAACCUCCAGCCUGCAGUGGGUACGGGCAGACUAGAGUGCGGUAGGGGAGAUUGGAAUUCCUGGUGUAGCGGUGGAAUGCGCAGAUAUCAGGAGGAACACCGAUGGCGAAGGCAGAUCUCUGGGCCGUAACUGAUGCUGAGGAGCGAAAGCAUGGGGAGCGAACAGG
rnacentral:rRNA from 1 species